CGUAGGGUGCGAGCGUUAAUCGGAAUUACUGGGCGUAAAGCGUGCGCAGGCGGUUUUGUAAGACAGAUGUGAAAUCCCCGGGCUCGACCUGGGACCUGCAUUUGUGACUGCAAGGCUAGAGUACGGUAGAGGGGGAUGGAAUUCUCGGUGUAGCGGUGAAAUGUGUAGAUAUCGAGAGGAACACCUGCGGCGAAGGCGGGUUGCUGGGCUGACACUGACGCUGAGGCGCGAAAGCUAGGGGAGCGAACGGGAUUAGAUACCCCGGUAGUCCUAGCCUUAAACGAUGAAUGCUUGGUGUCUGGGGUUUUAUAGUCCCCGGGUGCCGUCGCUAACGCUUUAAGCAUUCCGCCUGGGGAGUACGGUCGCAAGACUG
rnacentral:rRNA from 1 species